AGGUGGGCGUCUGGUUGCUAAAACUUGAAACUGCAUUCCCUCGUUAUCCAGGUGGGCGCCUGGUUGCUAAAACUUGAAACUGCAUUCCCUCGUUAUCCAGGUGGGCGCCUGGUUGCUAAAACUUGAAACUGUAUUCCCUCGUUAUCCAGGUGGGCGCCUGGUUGCUAAAACUUGAAACUGUAUUCCCUCGUUAUCCAGGUGGGCGCAUGAUUGCUAAAACUUGAAAAUGUAUUCCUUCGUUAUCCAGGUGGGCGCCUGAUUGCUAAAACUUGAAACUGUAUUCCCUCAUUAUCCAGGUGGGCGCC
rnacentral:lncRNA from 1 species